UUCAUACGUCGAAUUUUGGUCGCGUCGAAUGCAAUUAAGACAAUAGAUAAUGAGAUGAUAAACCUCAUUAAGCUUCAUUAUCUAUUGUUUGAAUUGCAUUCGACGCGACCGAAAUUCGACGUAUAAA
rnacentral:miRNA from 1 species